UUGUAAUCCGUAUUUAUUCAAAGUAUUUACUGCUGCUUUUCUCCAUUUCACAGAAACAAACCAACAGGACUUCAUAUGAAAUCAUUGACCACCACGUGCUCCUUCCACCUCCAUUAACUCCUAAUUCUAGGCACAUGAGAGCCAAAGGAAACCACAGAGCCACAGGCACUCACUCACAGCCCUGAAGCAGCUGCUCACAAAGGCAGUGUCGCAGGGCGAGUGUCAGUCUGCCUGGCAAUCUCCUACAACUGAGGGGAAAUAAGAUACCAGAAUGGAUAAGCAGAAGUAACUGAGACUCUCCUGUCUGCCUGGACCUUCAGAGGCUGACUUCAGCUGAAGCACCAAGAGACAUCUUAUGGCUGAAUUCACACAUGAAAAACAUGACUCGAAUUGUUGUUAGCUAGCCUCACCGUACAAAGCACAGCACUGGAGAGAGCUGGAGAGUUGCAUCUUUAAUUGAUUUGCUCUGAGUCAUGUCUACAUCAGAGGGAUAGCUCGACUUGCACUGGAGGUACUAAUGGGGGAAAAUCAUUACCAUGCUCAGCAUAAUCAGAUAAAGAGGAAAUGGACUAGAGAGACAAGAAUCUGCGCAAGGGAAAAUGUGCUUCUGAGAAGAAAAGAGAAUUUUGAGGAGACUCUAUCCUGCUUAUGAGAGUAAGAAAAGAAAAGAAAUUUUAUGACCUUCUGCUUUAAUUAAAAAUAUAAAUUACUCUAUUGGUGUCUUCUCCAGAAAUUAUGUUAAGGAUUUAUUUUGCUUUCAAUCAUAUUUUGGUUACCAAAUUUUGUGGUGCGGCAAGCCGUUUUUGUGGUAUAAUAAUAAUAGUAAUUAUUAUUAUUUUGAGAAAAUUAUAUGCCAGGAAUUAUCCACAAACUGAUAGAAGUCAACUACAAACUGAAAAUUGGGAGCGUUAAAAAUCUCAUCCAGUAAACUUUUCCAAUACUAUGUGAUACCUGUGAUUGC